CCCUUAGAUGUUCUGGGCUGCACCCGCGCUACACUGAAGGGAUCAGCGUGUUCUUUUCCUGGUCCGAAAGGAUCGGGUAACCCGCUGAACCCCCUUCGUGGUAGGGAUCGGAGCUUGCAAUUAUUCUCCGUGAACCAGGAAUUCCCAGUAAGCGCAAGUCAUAAGCUUGCGUUGAUUACGUCCCUGCCCUUUGUACACACCGCCCGUCGCUACUACCGAUUGGACGUUUUAGUGAGGAUUUUGGACUGAGCCAAUGGUGGUUCACACCACUGUUGUGCAUGGAAAGAUCUCCAAACUUGAGCGUUUAGAGGAAGUAAAAGUCGUAACA
rnacentral:rRNA from 1 species